rnacentral:lncRNA from 1 species
UGUGGGAUUUAGAGUUGGAGUGUAAGUAUCUCUUUGUUUCUUAAACCAAUGCAAUAGUCUCAUCGUCAUAGAAGUAGAAGUCUACUGCUAUUCACAAGUUAGAGUUGGAGUGUAACUGUGUAAGUAUCUCUUUGUUUUCUUAGACCAAUGCAAUAGUGUCAUCAUCAUAGAAGUAGAAGUCUACUAUUAUUCACAAUUGGGCAGUGUACAAUAUGUUAUGUUAAAACCCAAAAAUAACCUUCAAAGACCCAUUGUGCAGAUUCAAAUUUUUGUUGUUUUA